CUUGUACACACCGCCCCGUCACACCAUGGGAGCGGGUUCUGCCAGAAGUAGUUAGCCUAACCGCAAGGAGGGCGAUUACCACGGCAGGGUUCGUGACUGGGGUG
rnacentral:rRNA from 1 species